rnacentral:misc_RNA from 1 species
GAUGAAGAACGUAGCGAAAUGCGAUAAGUAAUGCGAAUUGCAGAAUUCCAGUGAGUCAUCGAAUCUUUGAACGCACAUUGCGCCCUUUGGUAUUCCGAAGGGCAUGCCUGUUCGAGCGUCAUUAUCACCCCUCAAGCCCUCGGCUUGGUGUUGGACGGUUUGGUGGAGGCCCCCUCGGGGGCUCCUGCCCCUCCCAAAGACAAUGACGGCGGCCUCGUUGGACCCCCGGUACACUGAGUUCUUCACGGGACACGUAUCGGACACAUGGGUUUACGGGACACGGUCUGCCUCCCCUCAGGGAGAAUCUUUCUAAGGUUGACCUCGGAUCAGGUGGGGAUACCCGCUGAACUUAAGCAUAUCAAUAAGCGGAGGA